GACGAACGCUGGCGGCGUGCUUAACACAUGCAAGUCGAACGGAAAGGCCCUGCUUUUGUGGGGUGCUCGAGUGGCGAACGGGUGAGUAACACGUGAGUAACCUGCCCUUGACUUUGGGAUAACUUCAGGAAACUGGGGCUAAUACCGGAUAGGAGCUCCUGCUGCAUGGUGGGGGUUGGAAAGUUUCGGCGGUUGGGGAUGGACUCGCGGCUUAUCGGCUUGUUGGUGGGGUAGUGGCUUACCAAGGCUUUGACGGGUAGCCGGCCUGAGAGGGUGACCGGCCACAUUGGGACUGAGAUACGGCCCAGACUCCUACGGGAGGCAGCAGUGGGGAGUAUUGCACAAUGGGCGGAAGCCUGAUGCAGCGACGCCGCGUGCGGGAUGACGGCCUUCGGGUUGUAAACCGCUUUCGCCUGUGACGAAGCGUGAGUGACGGUAAUGGGUAAAGAAGCACGGGCUAAGUACGUG
rnacentral:rRNA from 1 species